rnacentral:tRNA from 1 species
GGGCCGGGUGCUACCGUGGAAUCGGAGACAAUCCGCCUGUCGCGGUUACGCUCAUCGAGGUCGUGGGAAAACGCAGGUCAGCAUAGCGUUUAGGCGUUUUGACCUGAAAAGCGGAAGGUCGGCGGUUCGACCCCGCCCCUGCCCA